rnacentral:rRNA from 1 species
CCCUUAGAUGUUCUGGGCCGCACGCGCGCUACACUGAUGCAUUCAACGAGCCUAUCCUUGACCGACAGGUCCGGGUAAUCUUUGAAUCUGCAUCGUGACGGGGAUAGAUUAUUGCAAUUAUUAAUCUUCAACGAGGAAUGCCUAGUAGGCGCAAGUCAUCAGCUUGCGUCGAUUACGUCCCUGCCCUUUGUACACACCGCCCGUCGCUCCUACCGAUUGAAUGUGCUGGUGAAAAGUUCGGAUUGGGAAUAGGAGACGGCAACGUAUCCUGUUUCUGAGAAAAUCUUUAAACCCUCCCAUUUAGAGGAAGGAGAAGUCGUAACA